rnacentral:misc_RNA from 1 species
GCUGCAGUCUCAAGUCCCAAGACUCAUGAUGAUUCAUCAAAACUCCGUUUCUGAAUAUUAAUACUACUCUAACUUCAAUGCAACUUCAUUUUUGAAAUCGGAAAAACAAGUAUACACUGAGGAAAAAAAUGCUCAGGGCAAGGGCAAUAUGAGUUGAAAAAUAUUAAUCCAAGAGGUAUUCCGUCUUGGAUUCGACGGCAGUUCGGCUUCGGCGACAGAAGAGGCGACAUCGGGAGCGACAUCAGUAGCAAAGCAGGUCCCUCAGAGCGACGAUGAAGAGAGAGAACGAUGACCAUUGCGUGAUGGAACCGAAUCAGGACAUCGAAGAGUCUCUCCAAAGAUCGACGCCUCUCCAUCCUGAUGAUGAUCAGAUGAUGGAUCUGCAACACAUGAGACGUACAACACCUUCCUUUUGCGAAGGUAUGUUUCAUCUAAUUUAUCCCUUUCGAGAGUCCAUAGUAUAUUCCAACAUUUAGAGUCUGCGUAUAUGAAUUGCACCCCC